rnacentral:rRNA from 1 species
AGAGUUUGAUUCUGGCUCAGAUUGAACGCUGGCGGCGUGCUUAACACAUGCAAGUCGAACGUGAAAGUCCUUCGGGGCGAGUAAAGUGGCGCACGGGUGAGUAACGCGUGGAUAAUCUACCCUUAAGAUGGGGAUAACGGCUGGAAACGGUCGCUAAUACCGAAUACGCUCCCGAUUUUAUCAUUGGGGGGAAAGAUGGCCUCUGCUUGCAAGCUAUCGCUUAAGGAUGAGUCCGCGUCCCAUUAGCUAGUUGGCGGGGUAACGGCCCACCAAGGCAACGAUGGGUAGCCGGUCUGAGAGGAUGACCGGCCACACUGGAACUGGAACACGGUCCAGACUCCUACGGGAGGCAGCAGUGGGGAAUAUUGCGCAAUGGGCGAAAGCCUGACGCAGCGACGCCGCGUGAGGGAUGAAGGUUCUCGGAUCGUAAACCUCUGUCAGGGGGGAAGAAACCCCCUCGUGUGAAUAAUGCGAGGGCUUGACGGUACCCCCAAAGGAAGCACCGGCUAACUCCGUGCCAGCAGCCGCGGUAAUACGGAGGGUGCAAGCGUUAAUCGGAAUCACUGGGCGUAAAGCGCACGUAGGCGGCUUGGUAAGUCAGGGGUGAAAUCCCACAGCCCAACUGUGGAACUGCCUUUGAUACUGCCAGGCUUGAGUACCGGAGAGGGUGGCGGAAUUCCAGGUGUAGGAGUGAAAUCCGUAGAUAUCUGGAGGAACACCGGUGGCGAAGGCGGCCACCUGGACGGUAACUGACGCUGAGGUGCGAAAGCGUGGGUAGCAAACAGGAUUAGAUACCCUGGUAGUCCACGCUGUAAACGAUGGGUGCUGGGUGCUGGGAUGUAUGUCUCGGUGCCGUAGCUAACGCGAUAAGCACCCCGCCUGGGGAGUACGGCCGCAAGGCUAAAACUCAAAGAAAUUGACGGGGGCCCGCACAAGCGGUGGAGUAUGUG